rnacentral:snRNA from 1 species
CUGAUCCAACUGAGAUGGAUCUUGA